rnacentral:rRNA from 1 species
GACGAACGCUGGCGGCGUGCUUAACACAUGCAAGUCGAACGAUGAACCUGGAGCUUGCUCUGGGGAAUUAGUGGCGAACGGGUGAGUAACACGUGAGUAACCUGCCCUUGACUCUGGGAUAACCUCCGGAAACGGAAGCUAAUACCGGAUAUGACGCACGGAGGCAUCUCCUGUGCGUGGAAAGAACUUCGGUCAAGGAUGGACUCGCGGCCUAUCAGGUAGUUGGUGAGGUAACGGCCCACCAAGCCUACGACGGGUAGCCGGCCUGAGAGGGUGACCGGCCACACUGGGACUGAGACACGGCCCAGACUCCUACGGGAGGCAGCAGUGGGGAAUAUUGCACAAUGGGCGCAAGCCUGAUGCAGCAACGCCGCGUGAGGGAUGACGGCCUUCGGGUUGUAAACCUCUUUUAGUAGGGAAGAAGCGAAAGUGACGGUAC